rnacentral:rRNA from 1 species
GCAAGUCGAACGAGAAAGGAUUCUUCGGAAUCCGAGUAAAGUGGCGCACGGGUGAGUAACGCGUAGAUAAUCUAUCUUAAUGUUUGGGAUAACCCUUCGAAAGGGGGACUAAUACCGGAUAUAUUUGUACCUGUCGGGGUACUAAGGAAAGGUGGCCUCUAUUUAUAAGCUAUCGCAUUAUGAGGAGUCUGCGUACCAUUAGCUAGUUGGUGAGGUAAGAGCUUACCAAGGCUACGAUGGUUAGCGGGUCUGAGAGGAUGAUC